rnacentral:tRNA from 1 species
GAAGACAUUAGUAAAAUGUAAAUUAUUCCACCUUGUCAAGGUGAAGUUGUAGGUUAAACCCCUGCAUGUCUUA